GGGAGUUCCUGUCAUGGCUCAGUGGUUAACGAAUCCGACUAGGAACCAUGAGGUUGUGGGUUUGAUCCCUGGCCUUGCUCAGUGGGCCUUGGCUCUGGCGUAGGCCGGAAGCUACAGCUCCGAUUCGACCCCUAGCCUGGGAACCUCCAUAUGCUGCAGGAGUGGCCCUAGAAAAGGCAAAAAGACAAAAAAUAAAUAAAAAAUAAAAUAAAUAAGCCCCCAAAACAAAACAACAACAACAACAACAACAAACAAACAAAAAACCAAAUAUGCAUUUAGGAUUUGCAUAGACAGGACAUAGAGAAGAGGAGCAGGGAGGCUGGAGAAAGCUGGAGGCAAGUAAACCUGCCUCUUCUAGCCAAUGAUAAGGGAUCAUUACUUUUCUUCUUUGGGUUUCAUUCCCUCACUGUAAAGUGGUGAGAAAAGUGAGCAUAACCCUUACCUCCAGAAAUAUCUUAACACUUAGAUAUUUGGAUGAUCAGUCUGUCUGAUGCCUUUCCUCUCCCAGCUCUGUUAAUGACUGGAGUCAUGAUCUCAAGCAGCAGCUCCUUGAAUACACCAGGCACACUUCAACCCCAGGGCCUUUGCACUUGCUGCUCCUUCAGCUCAGAACACUCUACCGCCCCCCGCUUUCAUGACUUGUUCUCUCAUCUCAAUAUUUUUUUAACUAUACCUGCUCAGUAAGGCCUUUCCUGACUCUUCUAUUUAACAAUGUCCCCUGUACCUAGAAGAGUGCGCUAUUCAUAGUAGAUACUCGAUAACUAUUUGUGGAGUGAAUUUAUGAAUAAAUGAAGCCUCUUCUCUCUGGGCUUAGCACUGUGCUGAGCACACAGUAGAUUCUUAAUAAAUAAUUGUGUGAGUAGUCAUCAUCCUCUCCAUUUGCCAGAUAAUACUUUGGUUGGGUCAACCCUGAAGCCUUUUUGCCUCUGACAUUUUCUGCCAGGGCAUCAGUUUCAGCUGGAGUGCCCAAAUCUUUUGUUCCUGAGCCUGAGCUAUGCAGAAUUUCUAGUUGGGACUGUUUGGCUGUUGGGCCCACAUGGUUAUUAUGUCAUUAUUGGUAAUUAGCAUUUAGGCCCAGAGGAUUGAGCUUUUUGUUUUUCAGCAGAAAAUCACAGCAGAGAGCAGUGCUAGCCAGCAGAGGCCCAGGCCUAGAGUGGCUUCCUCUGCAACUGCCUCCCUCCCUAGCUGUGGGGUCCAUGGCUUAGGGAGACCAAGACAGGUGCCCAAAGCUAGGGGCACCUGCGUAAGCAGCUCAACUGCUGUCUUCCCCAGGCAGCAUUUUACAACGUUUCUUCUCCCCGACACCCUCGGCUCUCCAUGCCUGGGCCUGGAAUAGAGGGGGUCGCCAUGUCCCUAGGGUAUUUUCUGAUGCCCAGGACUCAGGUAUUAUGCAUGGAAGAAAUAACCCUAUGUUUAAGACUCAGGAGCCUGGGUUCAAGUCCCUUCUUAGCUGCCGAGUUGUUGGGGCCUCAUAGGCACAUACACUACCUUUUGCUGGGCCUCAGCUUUCUCAUCUGUCAAACAGAGAUAAAGAGAUAAAGACACCUGCCUGGCUUUGCUAGGGAAUAGUGUGCAAGGAGAGGGUUCUGGAGUCAGACGCACUUGGCUUCCCAACUGUACCCCUUCUUAGUUGUGUGACAUUGGGCAGGUUGCUUCACCUCUGGUUCAGUUCCUAAAGCUAAAGAAUAGGGUUAAGGGAGUUCUCUUUGAGGCUCAGUGGUUAACGAACCUGGCUAGGAUCCACGAGGAUAUGGGUUGGAUCCCUGGCCUUGCUCAGUGGGUUAAGGAUCCGGUGUUGCCAUGAGCUGUGCUGUAGGUCGAAGGCGCAGCUCAGAUCCUGUGUUGCUGUGGCUGUGUUAUAGGCAGGCAGCUGUAGCUCUGAUUAGCCCCCUACCGUGGAAACCUCCAUAUGCCUCGGGUGCAGCCCUAAAAAAAAAAAAAAAAAAAAAAAA
rnacentral:lncRNA from 1 species